AACGCGAAGAACCUUACCUACCCUUGACAUGUCAAGAAUUCUGCAGAGAUGUGGAAGUGCUCGAAAGAGAACUUGAACACAGGUGCUGCAUGGCCGUCGUCAGCUCGUGUCGUGAGAUGUUGGGUUGAGUCCCGCAACGAGCGCAACCCUUGUCAUUAGUUGCUACGAAAGGGCACUCUAAUGAGACUGCCGGUGACAAACCGGAGGAAGGUGGGGAUGACGUCAGGUCCUCAUGGCCCUUAUGGGUAGGGCUACACACGACAUACAAUGGCCGGUACAGAGGGCUGCCAACCCGCGAGGGGGAGCCAAUCCCAGAAAACCGGUCGUAGUCCGGAUCGCAGUCUGCAACUCGACUGCGUGAAGUCGGAAUCGCUAGUAAUCGCGGAUCAGCUUGCCGCGGUGAAUACGUUCCCGGGCCUUGUACACACCG
rnacentral:rRNA from 1 species